UACGGAGGGUGCAAGCGUUGUUCGGAAUUACUGGGCGUAAAGCGCGUGUAGGCGGCGGCAUCCGUCCUGUGUGAAAGCCCCCGGCUUAACCGGGGAGAGUCACGGGAUACCAUGUCGCUCGAGUACGGGAGAGGAUGGUAGAAUUCCCAGUGUAGAGGUGAAAUUCGUAGAUAUUGGGAAGAAUACCGGUGGCGAAGGCGGCCAUCUGGACCGUCACUGACGCUGAGACGCGAAAGCGUGGGGAGCAAACAGG
rnacentral:rRNA from 1 species